rnacentral:rRNA from 1 species
GAUGAACGCUGGCGGCGUGCUUAACACAUGCAAGUCGAACGGUGAACGAGGGAGCUUACUCCCUCCGGAUCAGUGGCGAACGGGUGAGUAACACGUGAGCAAUCUGCCCUGGACUCUGGGAUAAGCGUUGGAAACGACGUCUAAUACCGGAUACGAGGCGUGGGGGCAUCCCCAACGCCUGGAAAGAAUUUCGGUCCAGGAUGAGCUCGCGGCCUAUCAGGUAGUUGGUGAGGUAACGGCUCACCAAGCCUACGACGGGUAGCCGGCCUGAGAGGGUGACCGGCCACACUGGGACUGAGACACGGCCCAGACUCCUACGGGAGGCAGCAGUGGGGAAUAUUGCACGAUGGGCGCAAGCCUGAUGCAGCAACGCCGCGUGAGGGACGACGGCCUUCGGGUUGUAAACCUCUUUUAGCAGGGAAGAAGCGAAAGUGACGGUACCUGCAGAAAAAGCACCGGCUAACUCCGUGCCAGCCGCCGCAGUAAAAC